AUGCCUCAGAUGAGCUUUAUUCUCAUGUUUUUAGUGAUGAGAUUUUCUGCUUCUGAGGAAGUGAAGAAGAACCUGACGGGCACUGUGGGAGGAAACAUCACUCUACCUGCACCUGUGCUGGAGAAAGGAUAUCUGUUAUAUGGAAGAACGAUUAUUGCUGAUGUGAUUAAGGGAGAAUUUCAAGUAUUUGUGGAAAAGUACAAGAACCGACUUCAGUGGGACAGAAACUCUGGACUCUUUACACUCACAGAGCUGCAGAGGAACGACUCAGGGAUUUAUACUGUCGACUCUAAAACAGGAAAAGUUUUCACAUCAUCAUAUAAGCUGACAGUGUACGACUCUGUACCGACUCCUGCAGUGAAGAAAGUGAGUGUGAGCUCUGAGAGCUGCUCCUUACUGUGUUUGGUGGACAGAGAGACCACACUGCUGUGGUUUAAAGACGAGCAGAGACUGAACCAGAGCAGCUCUGCGCUCUCUCUGCCUCUCACUGUGCACAAACAGGACUUCAGCUCCUCUUACAGAUGUGUGGCUGCAAACCCUGCAGACGAGAAAACUCUUCCUGUCCCUGUGAAUACGACCUGUGGAGACACAGACGACACAGGUAAGACUGAAUCUGCUGUGAACCUUCGUGUUUCAGGCUGAUGUGCUGAUGUGAACGUGUGUGUCAGGUGACAGGAACACAGACUCCUGGUUGUUCCUGGUUCCCAUGGCUGUGUGUUGGAGUGCUGUUGUUGUUUCGAUGGUUCUGAUGGAGGGGAAGAGAGAGGCUGAGACGGCUUCACCAUCAGCUGUGCACUCACAUCAGUACGAACUCUGCUGCCUACAUGAUAACAAAGCACACAUACACUGUGUGUGUUUUAUAUUAUCCCUCCUUAUUUUACAUAUAUCUUCCUUAUUUUCUAUUUCAUCUUAACAGGUGUGACCUUCACUGAAACACUGGAAAUAACAACGCUUUUAGGUGCAGUUUGAAAUCGUCUUCUAAACCCGAGGAGAGGAACGUGAUCCAGAGCACAGCUGACCUCAAAAUGCAUGUUUUAGAGCAGAUUUUAGCUCUAAAUAUAUUAUUUCAUGCAGGUUUUCCCAGCAUAUAUCUUAUUACCAUUACUCUUCUGACUACACACAGUUAUACCCCCUGCCCCUCUGUGAUUUAAACGCAGCUCACACAGUAUAAAGGCUAACUCCAGCUGGAUGGAUAAAAUCGAAACAUAAAAGAAACAUAAAUGUUCUUUUGAAAUGUUGCACAGAUUUGAAACUCUGAGGUGAUCACAGGCCUCAUUCUCACAUGAGCAGCAUAGUUAAAACCUGCUUUUUACCAUCAGUGAAUGUGCAUGAAAUGCUGAAUGCUUCUGAUCCUGGAGGAUUGUAACUCACUGCUCACAGGAAUCACAAAACAGCAGCAGACUCUGCUUCAGCUCCUGGGUUUGAGUUUAAAAUGGGAAUCCGUCUACGAGCUGCACUGAGAUCAUCACAUCAGGUUUCCAGUUAGUUUUGUGGUUGAUUUUUAAAUCUCAGGGAUGUUUUUAAGGCCUGUGUGUCUGGGAGCUCAGUAUCUCUCUGCUGCUCUCACCUCCAUCGCGUUUAAAGGAGAAGUGGAGAGGAGAGGUGGACUGAUGUUUCCUCAACUCAUCUCUAAUCACACCUGAGAGGUUAAAGGUCAGCAUCCAGCCUUUUGUGUUUGAAAUGAUGAAGAGUACUAUAAACUAACAGAGUUUAUCUACAUGUGCUUUUGGUAAAAAUAAAUCCUCUUUAUUAUUAAUCAAAGAAGAGUUUCUGUUGUAUUGUUG
ensembl:lncRNA